UCUCCUACGGGGGGCAGCAGUGGGGGAUAUUGGACAAUGGGGGGAACCCUGAUUCAGCGACGCCGCGUGAGUGAAGAAGUAUUUCGGUAUGUAAAGCUCUGUCAGCAGGGAAGAAAGCAAUGACGGUACCUGACCAAGAAGCCCCGGCUAACUACGUGCCAGCAGCCGCGGUAAUACGUAGGGGGCAAGCGUUGUCCGGAUUUACUGGGUGUAAAGGGCGUGCAGCCGGAGAGACAAGUCAGAUGUGAAAUCCACGGGCUCAACCCGUGAACUGCAUUUGAAACUGUCUGGCUAGAGUGCAGGCG
rnacentral:rRNA from 1 species